AACUCCGAAUGCCAUGUACUUAUACUCGGGAGUCAGACUGCGAGUGAUAAGAUCCGUAGUCGAAAGGGAAACAGCCCAGACCACCAGUUAAGGUCCCCAAAUAUAUGUUAAGUGGAAAAGGAUGUGGGGUUGCUUAGACAACCAGGAUGUUGGCUUAGAAGCAGCCACCAUUGAAAGAGUGCGUAAUAGCUCACUGGUCGAGUGACCCCGCGCCGAAAAUGUACCGGGGCUAAACAUAUUACCGAAACUGUGGAUGAACCUCUUCGGAGGUUCGUGGUAGGAGAGCGUUCUAAGGGCGGUGAAGUCAGACCGGAAGGACUGGUGGAGCGCUUAGAAGUGAGAAUGCCGGUAUGAGUAGCGAAAGAAGGGUGAGAAUCCCUUCCACCGAAUAUCUAAGGUUUCCUGAGGAAGGCUCGUCCGCUCAGGGUUAGUCGGGACCUAAGCCGAGGCCGAUAGGCGUAGGCGAUGGACAACAGGUAGAGAUUCCUGUACCAGUGCUAAUUGUUUAACCGAUGGGGUGACACAGAAGGAUAGGGAAUCGCACGAAUGGAAAUGUGCGUCCAAGCAGUGAGUGUGAGAAGUAGGCAAAUCCGCUUCUCGCGAAGCAUGAGCUGUGAUGGGGAAGGAAAUUAAGUACGGAAGUUCCUGAUUUCACGCUGUCAAGAAAAGCCUCUAGGAAGAGUAGUACUGCCCGUACCGCAAACCGACACAGGUAGAUGAGGAGAGAAUCCUAAGGUGAGCGAGAGAACUCUCGUUAAGGAACUCGGCAAAAUGACCCCGUAACUUCGGGAGAAGGGGUGCUCUAUUAGGGUGCAAGCCCGAGAGAGCCGCAGUGAAUAGGCCCAGGCGACUGUUUAGCAAAAACACAGGUCUCUGCAAAACCGUAAGGUGACGUAUAGGGGCUGACGCCUGCCCGGUGCUGGAAGGUUAAGAGGAGUGCUUAGCUUCGGCGAAGGUACGAAUUGAAGCCCCAGUAAACGGCGGCCGUAACUAUAACGGUCCUAAGGUAGCGAAAUUCCUUGUCGGGUAAGUUCCGACCCGCACGAAAGGCGCAACGAUCUGGGCACUGUCUCAACGAGAGACUCGGUGAAAUUAUAGUACCUGUGAAGAUGCAGGUUACCCGCGACAGGACGGAAAGACCCCGUGGAGCUUUACUGCAACCUGAUAUGGAAUGUUUGUACCGCUUGUACAGGAUAGGUAGGAGCCGAAGAGACGUGUGCGCUAGCAUACGAGGAGGCAAUGGUGGGAUACUACCCUGGC
rnacentral:rRNA from 1 species